rnacentral:lncRNA from 1 species
UUGAAAUUUAAUAACAUAAUAGAUAAAAUUAAAAAUGGUUCGGGACAUUUACCAAUUUCUUCUUGAGUAAAUGUUAACCGUUUCCUAUCAAAACCUAAUGAUCACUUAUACACCUUAACAUAGGUAAAAAAUUCGGUGUCAAGUGCCUGUGACAUAUUCUUACAUUUAUAUAGCAAUAGCUAUGAUCAUAAUACUGGUUGAUAAAAGUAACUUGUUAUAGCAGACACAAGAGUAAGUCAAUAUAAACGUGUAUCUCAACACAGCAAUAAUAAGCGACUCACUUCACACAGUAAUAUAUAAAGGCAACAGUAGCAUACCGUUGUUCGAAACUCAUAAAUACCUGUGUACAAAAUAUAUAAUACAACUUAAAUAAAAUCUAUAUUCAUAUAAAACGUCUAGCAUUUUGUAAUUGGGUUCAAUAUUUCAUAAUGAUUUUUCAGGUCAAUAAGUUGCAUUAUCAAAUGGAAGAAGCCAUUUCACGACCUACUCAUAUGCCUUUUUCUCAUCUUAAUUUGAGGUAUACUUUUUUCUCUUUCCUUUUAAAUUUAGCGGCCCUUUUAUAACUGUAGAUUUUUGUACAUCUCUAUCCUUUAAUCCUGAUCUUCAUUUGAGAUUUAUUUCGCUAUCAAUAUUUGUGCACUUUUUGGCUAAGCCAAUUUUGUGAUAUCUCCUAAAGAAAUUGAUGGUUCGAACAACUAGUUUAAUCUCCGUUAAAAGCUCAUGCGAGUCCGAGCUCAUUUCACUUUUUUUAUUUUUGGUUCGACGCUGCUUCAUUGCAAAGAUCCAAAAUCUUUUUUUAUAUUAUGUUAACAUCGCUUUAUCAUUCAGAACACUCAAACAUACUACAGCAUUGAUUCCGUCACAAUCAUGAACAAAAUACGCCUAUUUCAUUCAUAAGAUAUUAUGAAUAGGUAUUAUUUAUGAAUGAGUUUACUCAAGUCAUUGUAAUUAUAUAACAACGUGACAUAUAACAUACUCCACCCUUGCAACCACAAUAAUAAGGAUAAAUAUUUCAAAUAAGUUUCCAAUGUCCUGGCCUUAUUAACAUGAAACCAUACUAGGUCAAUCAUCUAUAUAUUUUAAAUCUAAAUAUAGAAAACAAC